UGGGGAAUCUUGCGCAAUGGGCGAAAGCCUGACGCAGCGACGCCGCGUGGGUGAUGAAGGCCUUCGGGUUGUAAAGCCCUGUGGGGAGGGACGAAUAAGUUCGACCUAAUACGUCGAGCGAUGACGGUACCUCUUUAGCAAGCACCGGCUAACUCUGUGCCAGCAGCCGCGGUAAGACAGAGGGUGCAAACGUUGUUCGGAAUUACUGGGCGUAAAGCGCGUGUAGGCGGUCGUACAAGUCGGGUGUGAAAGCCCAGGGCUCAACCCUGGAAGUGCAUUCGAUACUGUAUGGCUAGAGUCCCGGAGAGGAUGGUGGAACUCUCGGUGUAGAGGUGAAAUUCGUAGAUAUCGAGAAGAACACCGGUGGCGAAGGCGGCCAUCUGGACGGUGACUGACGCUGAGACGCGAAAGCGUGGGGAGCAAACAG
rnacentral:rRNA from 1 species